AUGCAUUUGUUUGCAUGGUGGAAGUUGUGUAUACCGAAGAAUAAAGGGGGCUUGGGGUUUAGGGACCUUCACAAUUUUAAUCUUGCUAUGUUAGCAAAACAGUGUUGGCGACUUCUCCAGAACCCAGAAUCUUUGUGUGCGCAAGUUCUUAGAUCAAAGUAUUAUCCAGAUGGAAAUUUGUUAAAAGUUGGCCCAAAGAAGGGAUCUUCCUAUACUUGGCAACACAUAGUGGCAGGUCUCUAGACCUUCAAAAGAGGUUGUAUAUGGAGAGUUGGGCCCGGAUCCCAAAUUGAUAUCUGGCAAAACCCAUGGAUCGCUAGUGCAACACGGAAGGUAAUCAUGCCAAAAGGAAUGACAAUGCUAUCAAAAGUGGAGGAACUAAAUAAUCCUUACACUGGUGGGUGGGAUGAAGAGCUCCUUCGUGAUUGUUUCUCACCAGUUGAUGUGCAACGGAUACUGCAAAUCCCUUUAAACAGUAACCUCACGGAGGAUUUUGUGGCCUGGAACUAUACUAGGUCAGGUACCUUUUUCGUUCGAACCGCUGAUAACCCACAAGUAUAG
rnacentral:rRNA from 1 species